UCCUGAGUUGUAAGGUAUUUCAUACUGCCU
rnacentral:piRNA from 2 species